rnacentral:rRNA from 1 species
UACGGAGGGGGCUAGCGUUGUUCGGAAUUACUGGGCGUAAAGCGCGCGUAGGCGGCCAUUCAAGUUGGGGGUGAAAUCCCGGGGCUCAACCUCGGAAUUGCCUUCAAGACUGUUUGGCUUGAGUUCGGGAGAGGUGAGUGGAAUUCCCAGUGUAGAGGUGAAAUUCGUAGAGAUUGGGAAGAACACCAGUGGCGAAGGCGGCUCACUGGCCCGCAACUGACGCUGAGGCGCGAAAGCGUGGGGAGCAAACAGG